rnacentral:rRNA from 1 species
UAACGCGUGGGUAACCUGCCUCAUACAGGGGGAUAACAGUUAGAAAUGACUGCUAAUACCGCAUAAGCGCACGGCAUCGCAUGAUGCAGUGUGAAAAACUCCGGUGGUGUGAGAUGGAUCCGCGUCUGAUUAGGUAGUUGGUGGGGUAACGGCCUACCAAGCCGACGAUCAGUAGCCGACCUGAGAGGGUGACCGGCCACAUUGGGACUGAGACACGGCCCAA